CUAAGCUCGAAUCUCAUCUUCUUUGUUUAUCAUACAAAUAAAAAUAAAAAGAGAGAAAGAGGUAAACAAACAUAUAACUCUUUUAUAAUUUCUGUCUUAAAAUUUUAUUAUUUAUUAUUAUUAUUAUUAUUUGAUAAAGAGAGAUGAUGGGAUUACUCCUUUACGAUCUAAAAAAUUAAGAUUUAAGUUAUCAAAAUAAUCUCUCUAUAUUUAGAUAUCAUCAUAGAAAAGAAUAUAUGAUGAAGAGAGUAAAAAAAAAAAAAGAUACAUUUUGAUAGAAAGAAUCUAUAAAGUUAAAAAAAAAUACUCCUUUACGAUCUUAAAAAAUUUAGAUUCGAGUUAUCGAAAUAAUUUCUCUAUAUUUAGAUAUCAUCAUUAGAAAGAAUUUAUAAUGAAGAGAGUAAAAGAAAAGAAAAAAGAAAAGUAUAUUUUGAAAGAAAGAAUCUACAUUCUUAGUAAUAAAGUAAAAAAAGUAAAAGAAAAAGAAAAAUGAUUGUAAAACCAGCAUGGACCAUGUCAGAGAGGCACAAGGACAAGGAAAUGGAGACCUUAGUUUGGCUGGUGAUGGGAGCUGGAAAGAGACAGGGGGAUGAGGGGAAAAUGAAACAUGGCCAGGGGAGAGGAACCUUAAACAUCAAACUUGGCUAUCCUUCUCCACAAGGCAAAGAAAUGUGCCCCACGAACAGCAUCACCAUCCCCCACCGCUUUGCAUGGGGUGAACAAUACCUCCGACUUGUUCAUGGGAUGCAGUGUAUCCAGCCCUCGGCUCUCCAACAUCUUCCUUGCCCUCUCAUCGUCCCACAGAUGGAUAGAUAGAUAGAUAGAUAGAUGAGAGCAGGUAGCUGGCUACCGAACACACACAGUAACAAGAGCAGCACCAGUCCAUCCAUCUUAACUUCGCAGAAGCUGCCUUCCUCCUUCGAAGCAUACGUCUCAACAAACUUUUCCUGUCCUGAUUGCAUCUCGUUUAACUUGAAUUGCAGGAGAAGAGCGAGAGAGGAAACAUGCACUGACAUGUGUUCAUGCAAUUCUUCUUCUUCUUCUUCUUCCUAAUGGAUCUUAAAGUGAAGAACCAUUCAGGGAGAGGACCUCACACGGUUGUUUCUAAGAGUUGCCAAGAGCAGACCAGAGAGGAAACCAAGCAUCCGAGGGUGCCACUAGAUUUAUGGUUUUGAAGCAUCACUCACGAUUGACGAAAACCAAAACAUAGGAGACCGGAUUCUCUUCUCUCUCUUCCAUAGCUAGAUUUGUCGGACUCGUACGAAGACUGUUUGGUUUGGAGAUCUCUCGAGCCUCGGACUUCAUUUAAGAAGCUGGUUUUCAAUACGAAGGGGAAGAGUAGCACAUCGAUCUCGAAGCCAUUAUUGAAGAAAAAUCUGCUCGUGGAAUAAAUUCAUCUGCUCGGUAAGCCUUGUUGGCAAGAAUGCAAAAGGAUCAGAGCGAUACGAGAUCUUUUCGGCCUGGAUCGACGGAAGGCAGAGGGAGGAGGAAAAGAUCGAUGAGCGGUUCGAGUACGGACAAGAGAAUCCUUCCGCCGCAAGAGCCAGACCAAGGAAGCUCAGCUUCCAACUAUUUCAGCAUGGAGUCAUUCCUUAUGCUCAUCUUCCUCACCAUGUCUCUGCUGAUACUUCCCCUUGUAUUGCCUCCACUGCCGCCUCCACCUUCCAUGUUGCUGUUACUUCCUCUAGGCAUACUUGCCUUACUGAUGAUCCUGGCUUUCAUGCCCCCAGAUAUAAGAAACAUUGCCUCCUCUUACUUGUAACUAUGUUGCGAAUUUUCGGUUCUCGCGAGAUAAGAGUAUUUGUAGAUUCAGAAACUAUUUUGAGCUAAAAUUAUAUAUGUUGCUACUCUACUGCA